rnacentral:tRNA from 1 species
GCGGGUGUAGUUCAGAGGUAGAACAGCGGUCUCCAAAGCCGUAUGUCGGUGGUUCGAUCCCAUCCACCCGUGCUA